GGCUCAGGGCGAACGCUGCGGGCGUGCCUAAUACAUGCAAGUUGAGCGCUGAAGGUUGGUACUUGUACCAACUGGAUGAGCAGCGAACGGGUGAGUAACGCGUGGGGAAUCUGCCUUUGAGCGGGGGACACAUUUUGGAAACGAAUGCUAAUACCGCAUAAAAACUUUAAACACAAGUUUUAAGUUUGAAAGAUGCAAUUGCAUCACUCAAAGAUGAUCCCGCGUUGUAUUAGCUAGUUGGUGAGGUAAAGGCUCACCAAGGCGAUGAUACAUAGCCGACCUGAGAGGGUGAUCGGCCACAUUGGGACUGAGACACGGCCCAAACUCCUACGGGAGGCAGCAGUAGGGAAUCUUCGGCAAUGGACGAAAGUCUGACCGAGCAACGCCGCGUGAGUGAAGAAGGUUUUCGGAUCGUAAAACUCUGUUGGUAGAGAAGAACGUUGGUGAGAGUGGAAAGCUCAUCAAGUGACGGUAACUACCCAGAAAGGGACGGCUAACUACGUGCCAGCAGCCGCGGUAAUACGUAGGUCCCGAGCGUUGUCCGGAUUUAUUGGGCGUAAAGCGAGCGCAGGUGGUUUAUUAAGUCUGGUGUAAAAGGCAGUGGCUCAACCAUUGUAUGCAUUGGAAACUGGUAGACUUGAGUGCAGGAGAGGAGAGUGGAAUUCCAUGUGUAGCGGUGAAAUGCGUAGAUAUAUGGAGGAACACCGGUGGCGAAAGCGGCUCUCUGGCCUGUAACUGACACUGAGGCUCGAAAGCGUGGGGAGCAAACAGGAUUAGAUACCCUGGUAGUCCCCGCCGUAAACGAUGAGUGCUAGGUGUAAGGAGCUAU
rnacentral:rRNA from 1 species